rnacentral:rRNA from 1 species
AUUGAACGCUGGCGGCAGGCCUAACACAUGCAAGUCGAACGCGUGGCGGACGGGUGAGUAAUGUCUGGGAAACUCCCCGGGGGAGGGGGGUAACUACUGGACACGGUAUCAAAUACCGCAUACCAUCGGAUGUGCCCAUAUGGGAUUCGCUAGUAGGUGGGGUAACGGCUCACCUAGGCGACGAUCCCUAGCUGGUCUGAGAGGAUGACCAGCCACACUGGAACUGAGACACGGUCCAGACUCCUACGGGAGGCAGCAGUGGGGAAUAUUGCACAAUGGGCGCAAGCCUGAUGCAGCCAUGCCGCGUGUAUGAAGAAGGCCUUCGGGUUGUAAAGUACUUUCAGCGAGGAGGCGUUACUCGCAGAAGAAGCACCGGCUAACUCCGUGCCAGCAGCCGCGGUAAUAC